rnacentral:rRNA from 1 species
UACGAACCGUGCGAACGUUAUUCGGAAUCACUGGGCUUAAAGCGCGUGUAGGCGGCCCGGCGCGUCGGAUGCUGAAAUCCCCCGGCUCAACCGGGGAAGGGGCGCCGAUACGGCCGGGCUGGAGGGGGGUAGGGGGCGCUGGAACUCACGGUGGAGCGGUGAAAUGCGCAGAUAUCAGGAAGAACACCCGUGGCUAAGGCGGUUCUCUAGUACGGUACUGACGCUGAGACGCGAAAGCGUGGGGAGCGAACAGG